rnacentral:rRNA from 1 species
AUGGACGGGAAUAACCUCGGGAAACUGAGAAUCCCGCCCGAUAGAACAUUAUGCCUGGAAUGGUUUAUGUUCCAAAUGAUUUAUCGCCGUAGGAUGGGACUGCGGCCUAUCAGUUUGUUGGUGAGGUAAUGGCCCACCAAGACUAUUACAGGUACGGGCUCUGAGAGGAGUAGCCCGGAGAUGGGUACUGAGACACGGACCCAGGCCCUAUGGGGCGCAGCAGGCGAGAAAACUUUGCAAUGUGCGAAAGCACGACAAGGUUAAUCCGAGUGGUUUCUGCUAAAGAAACCUUUUGUCAGUCCUAGAAACACUGAUGAAUAAGGGGUGGGCAAGUUCUGGUGUCAGCCGCCGCGGUAAAACCAGCACCUCAAGUGGUCAGGAUGAUUAUUGGGCCUAAAGCAUCCGUAGCCGGCUCUGUAAGUUUUCGGUUAAAUCUGUACGCUCAACGUACAGGCUGCCGGGAAUACUGCAGAGCUAGGGAGUGAGAGAGGUAGACGGUACUCGGUAGGAAGGGGUAAAAUCCUUUGAUCUAUUGA